rnacentral:rRNA from 1 species
AUUGAACGCUGGCGGCAUGCCUUACACAUGCAAGUCGAACGGCAGCACGGGUGCUUGCACCUGGUGGCGAGUGGCGAACGGGUGAGUAAUACAUCGGAACGUACCUUAUCGUGGGGGAUAACGCAGCGAAAGCUGUGCUAAUACCGCAUACGCCCUGAGGGGGAAAGCGGGGGAUCGCAAGACCACGCGCGACUAGAGCGGCCGAUGCCUGAUUAGCUUGUUGGUGGGGUAAAAGCCCACCAAGGCGACGAUCAGUAGCUGGUCUGAGAGGACGAUCAGCCACACUGGGACUGAGACACGGCCCAGACUCCUACGGGAGGCAGCAGUGGGGAAUUUUGGACAAUGGGGGCAACCCUGAUCCAGCAAUGCCGCGUGAGUGAAGAAGGCCUUCGGGUUGUAAAGCUCUUUUGUCAGGGAAGAAACACCGGCUCUAACACAGUCUGGGAAUGACGGUACCUGAAGAAUAAGCACCGGCUAACUACGUGCCAGCCGCCGCGGUAA